CCGGGGGGGGGGAGGGGGGGUUAGUAACGUGGGCGAACCUGCCCCAGGGAAAUGAAGUAAGUUCCCGUCUCCUGGGAGGGAACGGGGGAGGACGGAUCCGCCCGCGUCUGACUCAAGCCGGGAGAGGAAUAUCCCCUCGCUCGCUCCAGCCCAACCCUCUUCCUCCUCCCCCGCCCGGCCGGCUCCGAGGAACCGGCGCGCAGCGGAGGGAGGCGCCCGGCCCCCCUGCCUUCCCCAGAGGCUGGUGUUUCUUUCCGUCCCGGCUUCCCCGCCCCCACCCCUCAGCCGGGCGUCCAGGAAUUGCCCGCCGUGGGGAGGGGCCUAGGGGCGGGGCGGAUGUCACCCCAUGGGAAGCGGGCCGCCAGCCAAGCGCAGGGGCAGCCGAGGCCGCCGCCGAGCACGCUGCGCGCACCUGACCGCCGAGCGUGUGCGCCACGGGCCCCUCGCUCCCCCGGAGCUUCGCUCCUGGGUGCAGCCGGCGGGCACCCUCUUGCGCGUACCCCCUGGGUGUCCCAGUGCCCAUCUCCACCCGACUUCGACAAGUCCAACACUGAAAGAUACCGGGCGCCGUGCCCUGCGUUCCCUCCCUCCCCUGCCCUCCCCAGAGCAGAGGCUCCCGGAUCGCCUCCCCUCCGGCUGCAACGUUACACAACUGCGGCGGCGACGCCUGCCCCGCAGCAGCACGGGGCGUGACGCUUCACGUGGCCGGGGCUCGGCCUCAGGGCAGUCGACUGCGAGCCCUUCUGCGCCGGCCAUGGGCCGGAGACCCCGGGGACCGGGACGCUGUGUGCCCGCCAGGGUGGGCCAUCCCUCCGCCUGCCAGGAGCUUGGGCGGCGCUGUUGGCGGUCUGCACCCAGAGCGGGAGGGAAGAGAGAGACUAGGACAAACUAUCUGUCCAUCACAUUGAAAUCCUAGCAUUCAUUCAGUGGAUACACAUUUGCUGAGCCCCCUACUCUGUGCCAGGCGUUGUGCCCGUUGCUAGAGAUACUGUUGGGAGUCCAAUAGAGUCCACCCUUGAAUUUACAGGAGCCUCUGGAAAGAGGAUAAAUUGGGCAAUGAGGGGAAGGCGGCCCUGGGAAAAUUAUAGAGGUGCCAGUGGCAGAGAAAAAAAGAGAAGUUUGUUUUGUUUUCAAAUUUUAUUUAAUACGGACCAAGAUGCCUUGGAAGAGGAGGAGGGGGAAGAAGCUAACCCAUUGCCCUCAGCUUGGCGCAGAAAGGCCUCCCGCAAGGGGCCCCAGACCUCUGCAAUGUGCGCGGGCGGGGGCCCCCACCUACCUCCGCCGGCAAAGUCCGGUCUCUGUGACCUUCUAACUCAGCCUGGAGCAGGGAAAACAGCUGAAACUCCAAGCCCGCGGUGUGAGCCGCGCUGAUGCAGUCAGAGGAGGGAGCCAGUGGAAAUUCAUGACUAAAAUAAGGCCUGGCUGGGGAUUUCACUGACCUCUGUGCUGCCCUGCCCUGCAAGUUCGGGGAGUUGAGAGAUGACUGUAAGCCGUUCCCACCGCGCCUCGGGAUUUUUAUCUGGUAUGUGGAGCUCUUCCCCCAAACAGGUGGGCAAGGAAGAAGUGGAGGCCCCAGCAUCUUCUCCGCAGGCCUGCACCUGGAAGCAGGGGCAUAGAGAAGAGUGCGUCUGUGAUCUGCCAUGGAUUCCCAGGUCUGAUGUUUUGGUUUACCUUUCUGAAUUGGUUUUUUUCUUCUAUAAGAUAGGGGUGUACAGGAAAGACAAAAACGCUAUUUUUUAAUUUUAAUUUUUUAAAAAAUACAAUUUAUUGUCACAUUGGCUAACAUACAGUGUGUAAAGUGUGCUCUUAGUUUUGGGGGUAGAUUCCUGUGGUUCAUCACUUACAUACAAUACCUAGUGCUCAUCCCAGCAAAAAAAUGCUAUUUUAAAAAGCUGGCUGCUUUUUGAGUUGGAAUCUAAGGACAAUAGAAUUAGAGUCUUUUUCUUUCUUGGGGUGUUUUUUUUUGUUUGUUUUUUUUUUUGUUUGUUUGUUUGUUUUCAGUUUGGUCAAGGUAAAGGGCUAAUUGAGAUAGGAGUGGUUAGGACCUGGGGACUAAAAUUGCUCUGCAUAAAGAAAUAAGAACUUUUUGUUUUUAAUUGAGGCUGGAGGGAAAUUUUUUUAUUUUGCUUUUGUUUGGGCAGGAGUGGUGAGAGAGUGGGCCCUAGCAGUAGGGUAGACAUGACAAGUUGCUCCUCCAGUGGCGAGAAGGAAGGGGGCGUGAGCUUUGAUGUCUGAUUGUCUAUUUUAAGUAGUUUCCUAUUCUCCAUUAGAAUCUUUCUCUGGUAAAGAUGUGCUCGCAUGACACCCAGAUGUUCAUGUGUUUUGGAGACUGAAUAGAGAGGGCUGCAUCAGCAGUAGGGGUGAAGUGAAAUAGAAGGGAGAUGAUGAGAAUUGGGUUGCAGUUGGGGUUUAGGAUCAAAAGUAACAAGGAAUCAUUGGGCACUUUUUAGCACCCUCCCUAGGAUCCUUGAAAUCAUUAAGGAGAGGGCUGGGUCCCAACAGUUAUGUGAGAUCUGGUCUAAAAUAGGCAUUUGAAUGUUAAAUGAAAGAUAGUAUACUUUGGGAGCAUGCAGAUGUCAGGGAGAAUAAUCUACUGACCAGGGUUGGAAGGUGUAAAUGUGGAUGUAGGUGAAGGCACUUCAUAAACUAGGGAAACACAUGAUCUUACACAAGAUAAAACCUCUUUCCAUGAAGAAUAUUUUGAAGUCAGAUUUGAAUUCAACACUGAUCAUGAAUAUAAGAAUAAUUAUCUGGAAGUCAUGAGCUAUAAUAGUUUUCUUUCUGUGUGAAGUCAGUUCAGACUGAUAGUUAAAACACAAUUUGGAUGUUAGAGAUACAAUUUGAAAAAUGGCUCCAUAUGACCCAGUGUUUCAUGUUAAGAUGUGAGAUUUAGGAUCCCAUGGUAUAUCAGGCCCAUUUAGUGGGAACAGAAAGCAGCUUUGGUCAUUUAAUAUUUAGCUGAGACUAUGGAUAGGUAUGAGAAAAAGGAAGUGAUGAUGUUGCAAAGCAAUGGGAAAGAGCAUGUAUAGGAUAUAUAUACUAGACACUCAACAUAUAUUGUCUUUACUGCUCAUUCUUGUCCAAAGAAGUGGUGAUACGUCCAUUCUUUAGAUGGGGGUGGGGGAAAGGUGACAUUUACACUGAUGGAAGGAUUUGCUCCAAGUUAUAGCACUGAAGUGGCAGAACUCCUGCAGACUGUCACCAAGGUCAAGGUCCUUGUUAUGUUCAUCUCACCAUGCUGCCAUGUGGGCUCUGAAUACAUCAGUGCUUAGCCUCCAAGCCUUGUGUGCUUCCAGACUCCUUGUCCCCGUUUCACACCACAUCUCCAUUGUUUUUCUUCCUGAGAAUUUUUAAAGAAAGCUUCUGACAAGACUUGAUGAGAUGCUACAGCUGACAAGCAUGUGAAAAAGGAUGAAAUAACUUGAGGUCUGGAGUGAACAGUUACAUUCCUGGAUUGUUGAAAGGCCCAUUCUUUACAUGGGAUCAACCAUCUUUGGUGAGGCUGGGUGGAUGAUGCAGUUUCACUUCUAGGUGUUAGGAUUCUCUUUCACACUGGUUUGUCAUGACCUUAAAGUAUUUUAAGUUUCUCCUUUGCUUUGUGUUCACGCCCAAACUCCAAGGGUAGGAUCUACCACAUAGAGGGUGGAGUGGCAUUCCAAUUCCAUUUAUUUUCUGCUGAAGCUGGCACACUGAAUGAAGAUUUAUAUCCUAAGUGACAGGAUUCAGACGAAACACGACAAACCUGUAAAAUCUGCAACGUGGACGUGUCAAUGCAGAACUUUCGGAUGAACUGGAUGGGACCAGGAAGACAAACCACACACACUGUCACGUUGUGCUGGGCAGCAUGACAGAUCAAAGAGAAUCCCAAGGAAGAGCAAGUCCUUGCUGGCUGCAGGGCACGUGGUGGGGGGUUCAGCACAGACUGCUGUUUGGUUUACGGAUUCAGGUGUGCGUCUAUCUUGGGCCUGCCUUUUUAUGGAAAAAUUUUGUGGAGAUACACUGCACUGACUGGAAAAUUAUUCACUUGUUUUUUUAAUCAAAUUUAUCGAGUGGAAGCAUUGGUUAUGAAACUAGUCAUUUCACUGGACUUUAAUCCUGACCUAGUUGCCAACAAUGGGUGGUAAUUAUUCUUAUUUACCAAAGCAUAGAGAGAAUCUGUGUUAAAAGAGCAACCCAGGCAGGCACUGCUUUGAGGAGGGAACAAGUUUUACCACCUUAGGAGAGAUGAAUUAGUUUUGUGAAACAUCUCUGAUUGUCUUGCUGAAGGACUCGAACCACUGGACAUGAACGGAAGCGUGCGGCAACUUUGUACUGCAGACAGCAAGUUAAAGCCCCCCGCCCCCCCCCCCCCCACGCCCAGGAAAGCUCAGGAGUCAGGGGCCUCAGCGGAGCACACUCCUGACUUUACCACUGUGUGCCAUGGUGCUCCUGACAGCCUGGUUGGCCGUCACUCAUCUAGAAGAAUGAAUGAACCUCGUAUUAAGCGCUCCUUGCUGUUGGUUCAAGUAGAUCUCCUCAGAGUUCUCACUAAUCAGGUUUCCACCGUCUUUGGCAGAUUUGAUUCCUGGACUCCCACAGAAGGAUUUCAGAGAAGUCUUUGAACAAAUGCAAGAGGCACAAACUUCACCUAACAACUGUUUACUGAAACAUGUGUAACUUCUGUGCCUGGCAUAGGGCUGAGUGCUGAGGGUCUGAAGCAAGACAGGUCCCUGCCCCCAAGGUGCUGUAGUGCACAGCCUGCAGUCACGGAGCAGGUCUUAGGGCAUGGUUCUUCACUUGUGAGGGACUCCAGAGCUGUGAGUGCCUAAUGAGAACCUGCUGAUCAAGUGAACGGGGCCGACCAGUAUCAGGAUGGCUGCUACUGGCAUCUGUGCAACUCGUCUCCACAGUGAAGAAGAUGAUGGACUCAGAUCCUCUUUGUUUUUGCUCUAUUUGUGCUUCUGUACAUGAGAUACUGGUAACCCUGGAGCAUGAAGGCCUUUCCCAAGGAGUACAUAAAGCCACAGACAGAAAAGAAUGCAUCUUUCUUAGAAUGUCCAUAUCAUUCAAUGAUGAAUUAUGGAAAAGACUUUUAUAUUGAACUCAAAAUAUGCCCUGCGACAUAACAUGAAAUUAAAUCAAAAUUUCAAAAUAAAAUCUAAGAUUUUAAAGAAGUGUCAUAUUUGCCGCCUAAGGCCACUUUGGGCCAUGUGCCCUGAUCCCAGGGAUAAACCUUCAUUCUGCAUCUCAGGAGAAUCCUUCAUUGUAGAGCUAGGACAAGGAUUUCCUGGUCUAGAUAGUGACUGGUUACCUACCACCUUACAGGCUCUCCCUCCAUGCCUUCCUCCAACUCUACUAUCUAACAAUGAAGUCUAACGUGGGGGAAUCCCACUAAAAUCCUAAACCAGAGGAAACAAGGUCAACUGCAGAAAUUCAGGUACUCUGGAUGGCAUGUAUUAUUAGCUUUUCUGCACUGAUGUAUGUAAAUCCCCAAUUCUGAGGUUCUAGGUAUUGCCAGGAAUUUAAUUAAAACAUUACCCUGAGCUGUUAAGUCAAAUCUCAAAUUACCAAAGAGUACCUAGUGGCUAAAAUUAAUUAGCAAUUCUAGCCAAACUAUUCUCUCAACUUCCAUUUGCUUGGGUGCCCUGCACAGGAGGAUAUGCUGGGAUGCAGGGUGAGGUUGCUCUUGGACACGCUUCCCCUCUGUAGACGAUCUGAAUCUCUGAUGGAAAAUGUUGAGGCUACCCCAAUAACUAGUGGAGGGGCCAAGAGCACACCUGAAUCCAGUUACUUUGUAUUGAGCUCACACCUUUAUACAAAAUGCCACGCUUGCUUGCGUGCUACAGGACUUCAGUGAAGCCUGUCACGCAGGGCUCUCCAGCUAGUCAGAGUCUGAAGGUCUCAAAGUGUUUGCAGAAUGCUACCUUUAUCUGUAGUGAAGAUCAGAAAUAUGUCUCAGUGUCCUGGCUUCUGCAUUUUUUAAAGAAAAUCAUCUUCAACUGCAGCAUUUUGUUUAUACAUGAAUUCAGUGUGUGUGUGUGUGUGUGUGUGUGUGUGUGUGUGUGUGCGCGCGCGUGCGCAUGCACAUGCAGGAAGGUGGGGCUGGGGGAGGCUGCUGGUUCACUGAGCGUCUGUCAGCAGCCUCUGUCACUCUGGGUCUGAGACAUCCCUCCGUGCUUCCCUCGCUUUCCUUGCUGCUGGCAUCUCACAUACCAAUGUCAUUAGGCACUGUCUGCCCCGGUCCUUCUACAAUCCAGCCCGUGCAGUUCCCGUCACAGCAAGUGCUUCCUCUGUCAGAGCAGACAAACUGACUGAAGCCACAGCCGGAAGCAUGCUGACCACAAGUGCUAAAGUUCUGGUUCAACUGAAGAGGCUGUUCUAAGAAAGACUACUGAGGUAAUCAGUCACCUUCCUCAGAGAAAGUCUGCUCAGGUAGUCUUGUUUAGUUUACCACGUAAACAAUGGAACAUUUACUGUUGAAUCCUUUAUUCUUUUAUAGCCUGAUGGGAGACUUGACAUUUUUUGGUGGGGGCAUGACGGACAAAGAGACCUGGGGCUUCUCUUUCCUUCAUAGUCCCUUCUGAGGAGAUCAAAGAAGGUAAACACUGUCCUUUCGAUCAGACAGCAAGUGUGUUUCUACUCAGCUUACCAAGCAGGAGGACACACCAGGGUUUCCCAGAAUGCCUAGGGACACCCGGGAUGAGAGCGCAGAGGAGGCAGGGGAGGACUGAAGAUCAUCCUUUAACUUUCCAAAAGCAGGAAUAUAGGACACUUAAUAAACCUUAAAUCACUUGCCCCUUUUGUAGGGAGGGGUGAUUAUUUUUUACUGAACGGGACUAAAAUAAUCCGUAGAGCUCAUUUUUUUAAGAUCACAGCAAAAAAUAGAACCCCAAAUCUGUUGCUUUCGGUGAACAACGGUGAUAAUGAUCUCUAUGCUCAGUGACUCUAAAAGCUAUUUAUAGCAAUUAUUAUACAUUCAGAAAAAACUAAACUAAAAAAUGGAUCCCAGGUAUGGACAUGAUAAAAAGAUCAUGGGGUUGGGGAGAGGGAGGGAUGAAUAAAUAGGGGGAGCACAGAGGGUUUUUAGAGCAGUGAAGCUAUUCUGUUUGCUGCUGUAAUGGUGGAUACAUGGCAUUAUACAUGUGUCAAAACCUAUAGAAGGUACAACACCAAGAGUGAAUCCUAAUGUAAAUUCUGGUCUGUGUCUAAUAAUAAUGUGUCAUCUUGGUUCAUCAGUGGAAACAAACAUACCACAGUAAUGCAACAUGUUAAUAACAGGAGAAACUGGGUGGGAGUGAGGCAGGGAGGGGGGAGUGUACAGGAACUCUGUGCUUUCUGCUCUGUUUUUAUGUAAACCUAAAAGUGCUGUAAAAAAUAAAGUCUAUUAAAAACAAUAGAUCCCACACCUGGAAUUUGUUGGCCAGUCCCUAUUUCAAGGAUCCACACUUCCCUCUGUUCCCAAAGUACAGUGAACUCAAACCACUUACGGUAUCCCUGCAUUUCACAGGUGUGUUUCUACAACAGCCUGUGACAUGAGUUUGUCAUCAGGAAGAGUCAUAGCCUGAAUCAAAAGCUCAGGACUUGAAGUCACAGUGCCGCAGUGUGUUAUAGACAGUGCACCAGUGAAUGGGUUGGUUAACCAACCUGGGUCUCCGUUUCUGUGUUUUGAGAAAGAGAUCAUGGGCUACCCCCACAGAGUUACCGUGUAAGGAUCAAAUGGAUGUGACAAAGUGUCCCAUAAGCUGGAAAGCAUUAUGCAAAAGUAUUCUAAAUCGGUGUCAUCAGCCUAAGGUCUCAAAACUAGUGUGGAGUCAACCCUGCAAUCCACAUUUUGACUCCAGGUGUAGUGACUCCGUGUCAGGUUCCUUCUUUUCUAUGGCAUUCCAUUUUAGAGAUACAGAAUUUCUCUUUUGGCAAUGCAGCCAUAUGAAGGUUACCCACACGACUCCCAACUUUAGGUGUCAGAGUGGUUCUGUUCUUGAGCUCUGAAUGACAUUACCAAAGCAGGCCACAUUAUAUAAUCUUCAGCUGGGCUGGAGUGACCACUUACCCUUCCCAGACUCGGUUAAUAGUUGUUCUUGGAUGAUACAGUGUAACAAAGACAGGCCCUCGCCAGCAUAGAGAACCGCACCCAUUUCUGAUGAAAUCCCUAAGAAAAGCCAGCUGCAGAAUCACUGGUUUAAGUCAUUGUAGGCCCUCAGGUGAAGCGAUUUCUGGGCCCCCACUGAGACUCUGAGAAAGCAAUGCUUAUCACUCCAAGUGAGGAAGCCAGGGGCCACACAGAAGAGAAAGGUGGGGCUGGCAGACGGUGUCGGACAAGGCAUGGCUGACCCACUGGAGGUUCCUAAUAGAGAACACUUAGGGUAACCUGCCCCUGGUCAAGCUGGUUCAUGACCCUUUGCCCCGGCAGCUUCCCCAGAGUUAGCUCAGUUAGCUAUGAAAUCUAGCAGAACAUUCCCAGAGGUUAUGUAUGGGAUUUUAGCAAUUUUUAUUGUUUUUUUCCUGUAUUCUUUUCUGGAUUCCAUGACUUUUUCCAGAAGUCUACUUAAACAGCUUUCCGAAUUUCUUUGCUGUUGUUUCAGGAAAAAAUACUUGGGAUUUUUGAAUAUACAUACACAUACGUAUACACUCAUAAACCUCACUAUUGUAAGGUUGUUGUAUGUAAGCUGCUUCAUAUACAACAAUGUUCCUUCGAACAGUGUUAGUCAUCCUAUAGGUCUACAUGUUGUCAAACUCUUGCCUGAAAUGGUUUUCCUUAAGGUCAGCCCUGCCUAGAUAGACUCCCAGAAAAGAGAAAAAUGUCAUCUCUCUCACCAUUGAUACGACUCCAGUGAGAGCUGAGGGGCAAGUCACUGGCACUGUUACUGACGUGGGAGUGGCUUGGAGGAAAUGUGCCACAGAGCUCCAGCUCUUAAGAGUGAAAGAGAUCACCAGCUGUGUGCAGGCUCUCUAAAUUCCUCAGUCCUUUCCAAAUCCCUCAUUUUACUGACCUGACCCGGGCACCCUGACCCCAAAGAUUUACCGGCUUGUUCACACAGGCGUCCUCUCUCCCUCCUGACACCCUCAUCCCUGCUCUAGACAGAGACCCUCUUUAGUAGUUCACGGACUCCUACCACUGCUUUGCAAGUUGCUUCGCUGAAUUACAAUGCUAAAGACGGCCUAAGAGACCCUGAUUCAACUUUCUCACUUUAUAUGGGGGUCACACCAAGGCCCUGAGAAGAAGUGGGUGUGUGAAAGGAGAAACUGAGAGCCUUGUCCACUUGUGUAAUGUGCACAUACAUAGGACUGUACCUAAAUACUAAUAAC